AUACGGGGGGUGCAAGCGUUAUUCGGGUUUAUUGGGCGUAAAGAGCGCGUAGGCGGCUUGGUAAGUCAGAUGUGAAAGCCCGGGGCUCAACCCCGGAAGUGCAUUUGAAACUAUCAGGCUUGAGUAUGGGAGAGGGAAGUGGAAUUCCUGGUGUAGAGGUGAAAUUCGUAGAUAUCAGGAGGAACACCGGUGGCGAAGGCGACUUCCUGGACCAAUACUGACGCUGAGGCGCGAAGGCGUGGGGAGCAAACAGGAUUAGAAACCCGAGUAGUCC
rnacentral:rRNA from 1 species